rnacentral:rRNA from 1 species
GAUGAACGCUGGCGGCGUGCCUAAUACAUGCAAGUCGAACGCAGCGAGGGCGGGUGAGUAACACGUAGAUACCCUCCGCUAAGUCUGGGUUAACUUCGGGAAACCGGAGCUAAACACGAUGCUCAUAGAUGGUUGCUGGCUGCAUUAGCUAGUUGGUAAGGUAACGGCUUACCAAGGCAACGAUGCAUAGCCGACCUGAGAGGGUGAUCGGCCACACUGGGACUGAGACACGGUCCAGACUCCUACGGGAGGCAGCAGUAGGGAAUCUUCCGCAAUGGGCGAAAGCCUGACGGAGCAACGCCGCGUGAGUGAUGAAGGUUUUCGGAUCGUAAAACUCUGUUAUUAGGGAAGCGGUACCUAAUCAGAAAGCCACGGCUAACUACGUGCCAGCAGCCGCGGUAAUUC